CCCCGAAGCCGAAGACGGUCCUGCAUCGUGGGGCUCCGGCCGCCCCCCAGGUGCUGCGCACGGCGCUGCGCCGCUCCGCGUUGCCGGGGCUGCUGGGAACCAGGAGCAGCAGGAGGGGGGGGGGAGCCGAGCAGGGGNNNNNNNNNNNNNNNNNNNNNNNNNNNNNNNNNNNNNNNNNNNNNNNNCCGACCCCCUGCACCUCCCGCAAUGGGACCCCCUGCACCUCCCCAAAACCGACCCCCUGCACCUCCCCCACCGCUGCUGAACCCGCGCCUGCAGCCCCUGCGUGCAUUGCAGGCAUUGCAGCGCCUGCAGCAUUUGCAGCAUUUGCAGCCCCUGCGUGCAUUGCAGCCCCUGCAUGCAUUGCAGCCCCUGUGUGCAUUGCAGCGCCUGCAGCACCUGCGUGUAUUGCAGACCCUGCAUGCAUUGCAGCCCCUGCAGCCCCUGCGUGCAUUGCAGGCAUUGCAGCCCCUGCGUGCAUUGCAGCACCUGCAUCCCCUGCAGCCCCUGCGUGCAUUGCAAACCCUGCAGCAUUUACAGCAUUUGCAACCCCUGCAUGCACUGAAGCACCUGCAGCCCUUGCGUGCAUUGCAGCACCUGCGUGCAUUGCAUGCAUUGCAGCCCCUGCGUGCAUUGCAGCCCCUGCGUGCAUUGCAGCCCCUGCAGCAUUUGCAUGCAUUGCAGCCCCUGUGUGCAUUGCAGCCCCCGCAUCACCCGCCCCCCCCCAGCGCCCCGCGGCCCAGCCCAGCGCCAGCAGCCCCAGCAGCGCCGCCGCCGCCCUCCGCCCCGCUCCCCGCAGCCGCAGCCAUCGCCGCAUCUCCGCCCGCACGGCUGCGGGCUGCGCUCAGUGCGCGUGCGCCGGGAGGGAGCGGAGGGCAGUGCGCAUGCGCCGGAAGGGAGAAGCGGAAAGUGCUCAUGCGUCGUCGCGAGGAGGUGAAGAGUGCGCAUGCGUCAGCUGGCGGGGCGUGAGAAGCGCGCAUGCGCUGAGCGGAAUGGGAGUUAGCGCGCAUGCGCCGGAUGUAAUCCGUGGCGAAUACGCAUGCGUUAGGAGUAGCGCGCAUGCGCUCUGCGGGAAAAGGGAGAGACGGUAAACUAGCGCGUAUGCGCCGGGUGGGAAGGCGUGAUCCGUGCGCAUGCGUGGAGAGAGCGGUUUGUUGUGGUCACGUGAGGAAAGGGGCGGGUUCCGCGUGGUGUUCAGUGCGCAUGCGUGGAAUGGGGGGGGAUGCGGAUGCGCGGAGAGUUUGUUGCUGUCACGUGACGGGAAGAGGAGGGUCGUGGUGCGGUCACGUGAGAGGAAGAGGCGGGGCUUGAGGCGGUGAGGAGUGCGGGGAAGUGGGGGAGGGGAACGAGGGGCGGUUGGGGGGCAGUGGGGCAGAAAUGGGGCUGGGGGGGGCUGG
rnacentral:lncRNA from 1 species